rnacentral:lncRNA from 1 species
GCAGCCUCCCGAGCUGCCGGGCGCCCUUUAGACCGAGCUUAGCCAAGCCCGGAUCCCGCAGGAAUUCCCGGCCGGAAGGAAGGGCAGGAGGAAGGAAAAAAAAAAGCCGCGGGGAUCCCGGCGGGGAAGGGGCAGCCAUGGCCCCCAACGGCUCGGUGGGAAUUCGGGAUUCCCCCCCGGAGCCGGGGAUUUUCCUGGAUGAGGAUUUGGGAUCCGACUGGUACAUCUACGAAUCCACCGAGUCCGCGGCCCAGGAUGACCUUUUUCCCGACGCCAUCCCGGAAUGCCACCCCACAAUCUCCCCCCGGCUGUACCACACUAUCAUGGCUCCCAUUUCCGUGAGUAUCCGCCCCAAAAUUCCCCCCAAAAAAUCC